AGCGAACGCUGGCGGCGUGCUUAACACAUGCAAGUCGAGUGCGCGGUUCGUAGCAAUACGAACUGGCGCACGGCGCACGGGUGAGGAACACGUGGGCAACAUGCCCUCCGAUGGGGAAUAACCCGCCGAAAGGCGGGCUAAUACCGCAUACGAUUCCGGGGACCUCGGUUCCUGGACUGAAAGCCCGCAAGGGCGUCGGUGGAGUGGCCCGCGGCCGAUUAGCUUGUGGCGGGGUAACGCCACAAGGCAAUGAUCGGUAGCCGGUCUGAGAGGAUGAUCGGGCCACACUGGAACUGAGACACGGUCCAGACUCCUACGGGAGGCAGCAGUGGGGAAUCUUGCGCAAUGGGCGAAAGCCUGACGCAGCGACGCCGCGU
rnacentral:rRNA from 1 species